CUUCUCAGUGAUCCUUCUUUCUCCGAUUCGUACCGUUGCUCGUCGUCUUAUCCUCGUCUCUCUCAAAUGCGCGGAGGCAGGCGCCACGAAUUCACUUCUCGUAACUUCGGCUUCGUUCGGUCAGUUCCGGCUGCCGGUCAGAAGAAUUCGUCAGUAUUCGCCGCGCUGCAUUGCCGGCAAGUUGUAUAAAGGAGUAAGGUGAUUUGAUUUUCGUAAGAAUAAAAGUGCGCGUAUCUAAUACAGAAAUACAUACGUUUAGAACAUAUUUGGAACGUUCAUACCGUUCAUGAGAAUAUUCGCCACAUUCUCAAUAUAAACGAAUGUUGUUAGAACAAGUUCGAUCGUGCUCUCAAAAUACGAGAGGUCGAACGUUAGUGUCUGACGCCUUUCAAUCAUUUCGAUCUACUUGACUUCGAAGAAAAACGCACUAACUGUCCAGAGUGUCUAUUCUGAAAAGGACCAAGAGAAUAAGACAGUCGAUUGGGACAUCGAUGAGAAGUAAGAAGGAAGGCACUCGUUUUGGAACAGGGAGCGUAUCGAUAAUCGCUACUUCGAUCGUUGAAAUUGUGCCGACACACUUCGAACAAGAUUGUGCACGGAAACUGGCACGACACGAAUACCUGUCCCUCGACGCAAAAAGUUUUUGCAACUCUGUGUACAUAAAACCCGCCAGGCAACAAAGUCGAAGAUUCUCUCCUCGCAGUGGGCCAAGUUCUUUAUCAAAACAUGGCCACGUGACCGACGGCGCGGCUUGUAAACAGUGAGUUUGACCACGUGGUCUGCCCCCUCUCUCGUAAUCGCCUAUCUCUCUCGUCCUGCUUCUCUUUCUCAGUUUCUUUCUCGCUUGCUCGCGACACGCAGAACAACGUACAUCGUAGCGUAUUCUCGGUCGGUCUGCUGCCAGCUGCGGGAGAGUUCGAUUCGAGUGAUCCGUGAUACUCUGCUUUUCCUCGCAGUUAGUUUACUUUCAUCUCGUUUUCUCAGAAAAUAACAAUACAUCUUUCGAUAUUGUGCGUGCGAUAUCAUUCAUGUACUAUUUAUUCUAUUUCUGGUCGCGCGCCGGUAAGGGAAAUCGAGUGACAAACCGCGAAUAUAGGAACACAGGGCUUAAUAAAAUAAAUAAAUAAAAGUGACCUCCCCCUGGUUCUGGUUUCGAUUUGUUAUUAGCGACGUAGUGUUGUUAACCCGUAGAAGUGGCAGUGUUAGUGAUAUCGAUAGUUUCGAUCGCAGCGCGACCAUUGACUGUUACGGCGAUUUUUCGCGGAUUCUCGGUAAGCAGCGCGAUAUUUGUGAACAGACACAGCACCUCGCGAGGUGCUCGGGAUCAAAGUGGAGUACACAGAGGAAACGAACAUGAUGGACUCGGUGCCGGUUUCUGCGUCGGGGUCGAAGACCGGGUUGCAACCACAGCAGGGGGUACCAUACGACCUUGAGAGCGGGUUUGAACCUCAGACGAGAGCACGGUCGCACACGUGGCCGCUGCCAAGACCGGAGGAAUAUAUCGAGGGAAACGUGGUGCCGAGCGUAGCGGCUAGCAAAGAGGGCGUCGAAGGCGUCGAAAGUGGCACACCGCCUCAGCAUGGCUCUCUCGGCCAAGGUACUGGCCUGCUUCCGGUCAAGAAGAAUUCGUCCCGACGAAACGCCUGGGGAAAUCACAGUUAUGCCGAUCUUAUUACUCAAGCCAUUACCAGCGCCCCCGACGAACGGUUGACGCUCUCACAGAUCUACGAAUGGAUGAUGCAGAAUAUACCAUACUUCAGGGAAAAGGGAGAAAGCAACAGCAGCGCUGGCUGGAAGAACUCCAUAAGACAUAAUCUGUCAUUACACAGCAGAUUUAUGCGAGUGCAGAACGAGGGUACUGGGAAGAGUUCCUGGUGGAUGAUCAAUCGCGACGCGAAACCAGGCAAGUCGCGUAGAAGGGCAAUAACCAUGGAGACUAGCAAAUUUGAGAAACGACGUGGCAGGGUGAGGAAGAAGAUCGAGGCGCUAAGAAACGGGGGGUUGCAAACUGACGCAACGCCUAGCCCCAGUAAUAGCGUGAACGAGGGGUUGGAUCUCUUCCCGGAUAGUCCUCUUCAACCUGGCAGUGGAUUUCAACUUUCACCUGAUUUUCGUCCUCGAGCUUCAAGCAAUGCCUCAUCCUGUGGUCGAUUAAGUCCAAUCCCGGCGAUCCCUGGGAAACCGGAAUGGACACCAACAUACACACCCUCUUAUAGUCCAGAACAAUUAGCCGGUAGCCUCGCGGAAACGAUGAAACUGGAAUCCUACCAAAUGUACCAAACAUCACCGUCCAGCCACCAGCAACAGACCGGACCACCACCUUCCUAUUACGAGACCCAAUAUCAGAGAAGUAAUAGCCUGUCGACAGGAUCGUCCUCCUUCGCUCUGCAGCCAACUCCUCAAUCAGGAAAUCAGCAAAGAUGCCCGCUUCACGGUCUGCAACCGUGUGCCUGUCAAAUGAACUUGAGUCCAGUGGCUGGAAUGUCGCCGUCAUAUCAGCAGAGUGAACCAAGUCCCACGGCAUUAGGGAACAAUCAGCAACAAACUCUUCAGUACAUGAUGCAGACGCAACAGUGCCAGCAGCAACAACAGCAGCAACAACAACAACAGUCGCAAACAGGAGCAACGGGAUCCAGUCCACCGCAAACACCCACACCAUGUGGUUCAACACCGAGCACAAUGAUGGGACAAUUGAUGGGAGCUCUCAAUAAUUCGACGCUCCUUGACGAUUUGAACAUUAAUAUCGAAUCGUUACACGGUGGAUUCGAUUGUAAUGUGGAAGAGGUGAUCAAACACGAAUUGUCAAUGGACGGGACGUUAGACUUUAACUUCCAGCAAGGUGUGAUGGGCACGGCUGCGAUCCAAGUGAGCGACAGUAACGUUGGUCAGAACGGUACCGUGUCCCAAAACAACGUGGUUGGCACGACGGCUGGAAACGCGCCCGCAGGAGUUUACGUGAGCACCAACGCGGCGACUCCUGCUGCUUCUCCCUCUUGGGUUCACUAGCAGUGGACCCCACUGCCCUCGACACCCCCGUCGUCCUUGUCAUCGUCAUUACUAGACGGACAAGAGAAUUUCCACGGACAGCCCGAGGGACAGUUCAUCGAAAUCCCAUGUGUCGAGGACGAGCUGGAGGAUCGACGAGUACUUGUGAUAAGAUGUAGAAAUAAUUAUACCGGACCACAACCAAGAUAUGUACCAUACCAUCAAACGUACUUCAAAGAUGCCGAUUUACGCCUGUGCAACUGUGGUGCGAAAAGAACGCCGUAAAUGCGAUCAACAUCGGGGAGCAGGCAAUGUCGUUUCGUUGCCACUAUUUCAUGCAACGAUUAGGUGGAAAUGAAACAUAGCAAGAAAUUCGAGACUCCAAACAUCAAAUAGCAUGAGAUUUUGCCGAUUCGCAAUCCUAGAUCCCAGAUAUUUCUUCGUUCUAGCGUUUGGAUAGCGAUGAAUCGCAAAAUAUGCGAUUAUAAAAUACUUUUAAUCCUUCUUAUGAUCCUCUCAUUAGAAAAAUACGUAAGGUUUUCCUGUUUUCUGUUACAUUUUCCAUGCGAUAGUUAGAGUUUAAUGUUUUGUGACGAUGAGAAACGUAAUCAUGAUGUCAUCCGAGGAUGUAGCAUAGGUGGAAAACGAUUGUAUUACAUUUCAGUGAAGAAAAUGUAACCGGAAGUUGAGUCGAUGGAAUUCUUCUUAUGCUUGAAGAUUGAAUCAGCAUAGAAUUUACGGUUUGAGCCUUUAAAUUCUAUAUUUUCGAGUACACUCUAAUUUAUUCAAAAAUUGAUCAUUGAUUGAGGCAAACUAAAUCAAAAGGAACAUUUCGCAAUUAAGACUAUUGCUAGUUGACAAUUUCUAAAAUUUAAUCAAUGCAUCUAAAUUCAUUAUUUUCUUUUUAACUUCUUUUGAAAACAGAAUUGCUUCACUUGCUCAAAAUCUCUUCGCCUUACAAUGUUUUUGUAUAAUGCGAAUGCUUCUGUAUAAUGUGACCUCAACAUUUCUUAUUCAGGAUAAAUUUAUAUCAAAUAAGAUAUUCCAGCACGAAUUCCACGACACAUAUGUAUAUGUAUCUCCUAAGAAAGAGGGAGAAAGAUCAUUUAUAUUCUGAAAGUCCAUCUCUUUAUUUCAAAAAGUAUACAUCAAAAUGAAGAGCUUGGCCUACGACAAAUUCUUUCGCGCGAAUCGGCACGAUUUCCGGAAUUUUUCACCAUUCGAGCUACCGGUGAACAAGCAACAUCCCGUCGACUUCUCUCGAUCGCUGGAGUAUUCCGAUCAGCUUCUCCAGAUCCUUCUUGUUUCCUUCCUCGUGACUUCCGCGCGAGUGCGUGUGCACGACCUGGAGAACCUGCGCCUGCAACCUGCAACUCAUGUCACGUGGCACGAAGAUCGUCGCGUGCUCCUCCGUUCGACGCUACACACGCAUGCUGCGAACUAGCGGCAACUCACAAAGGCGUUCGACUUCCGUCUCGGAUCUCUCGAUAGCCCGUAAUACGCACAGACAUUACACAUAAUCGUCCCACGGCAGACAAAUCGGCGCUAUGGACAAAUCCACGAGAUUUCGUUUCUUCUCUUUUGUGUUCGUGUAUAUGUAUAGUUCGUAUAUAUAUAAUAUAUACGCGCCGUUGGAUCGUGAUUCCCGUUCGCCAGUUUAUUUUUGCGAAUCCGCGACGAACGGUAGAAUCCGCGAGCGGCGAAUAAUAUACCACGUUGGGCCAGUUUAACAGAGUAAACGAAAAAUUCACUUGCACAUUUUCUACUUUUUGCGGUUUUUCUUUUAUUUCUUGUUUAUUUGUCUCAUCACGAAGACAUGCAAAAUCACUCGUAAUUCGUUUGCGUGGCUCCAAAUAAGUAAAAACCGAAAGGAAAAAAGGGAAAUAUGACGGACAGCUAAGAUAAUAAAAUGAGCGACGAAUGGACAAGACGUCUGCCGACGUUUUGCCGUACGUACACGAUCUCUUUCCCUAUAGAAGUAACCUCAUGUGCACGAAGGCGCAUAUUAUACAUAUAUAAAUAAAUAUAGAUAUAAGUAUAUUAUAUAUAAAUAAGUAAAUAUAAAUAUACAAUGAUACAUGAAUAUGAGAAAACGAAGAACACACAAUAUUAUUGUAUAUGUAACUAAAAUAUUUAAGAGAAACUGUGCGCGGAUAUCGCUACGAAUUCUAUGUUGCGAUAUAUAUGUAUGAUAUUUAUAUAUAUAACAAUAAUUAUAUAUAUAUAAUGUUAUAUAUAUAUAGAGAACACAUCAUACAUGUAUAUGAUAUUAUACAAGGAUAAAAAUAUAUUGAACAUAUUCUAUAGAAUAUUGUACGUUUGCUAAUGUUAUGUAUAGUAUACAAAAGGAAAAAAUAUAUAUAAUUAUGUGUAUAAUUAUAUAUAUAUAUAAUCUUUACCUAUAUAUAUACAUAUAUAUAGGCAAAGAGAUAAGUACAUAGGUUAUGUAUAAGAUAUAGGUACAAUUAACGUUAAGUAAAAUGCUACAAGUAGAUAUGUCUAAAAGAUGGAUAAAGUUUUUAGUCAGAUGGUUAGGAAUCAAAGUUGACACGACGACGAAAGCUUAUUCUGCGUGGCUUCUUUUAAAUUUGUCGCGUCAUCUUACAAUAGAGGAACAGAAUGGAUAACACGUUGGUGCUUUUCGAUAGGUGAACGUUUCCUUUUCGUUUCUUUCAUCUUUUCUAUUUCUUUUUUGUCAUGUAUUUUUUUAUCUGCAAAACAGUAAUCGUUAGAUCGAUGUGCUAUUUAGAUAAACGGAACUGACAGUAUCAUACACCGACGCUGUUCUUCACAGACGGGCAUUUUAUGCUUUUAGUAAAAUAUUAAACAGAUUUUCCUAGAAAUCAGUGUAAAAGAUACGAAGAUGUACGAGUACUUCGAAAAUCGAGCAUAUUUGAUCGAAUAAUCUUAAUCGUAUAAUUCGUAAGAGGAUUCCUAUCGAUCGUAUCAACGUUACUUGAUUAAGAUACAUUUCCAUCACUGUCAUCCGAAAUGUAUGCAUUUUUUGACAGUAUCAGCCCGACGAAUUAGAGGGUCCUGUACGAUGUUCCUCGAGGAUUGCGAUAAUCUUGUAGGCUGGUUAAAAAGAAGUGCGUCAGUCGAGAUCAGUGUCUUUUACUAUUGAAGAGCUUAGGUGAAUUUAGUAGACUUUAAUCGUCCGACGAUCAAACGAUACAAGAGCAGAUCUUCGAAACGUCGAAGAUCGCUAUUAAAUAGCUUUCAAAGUCUGUAAAGUACAUGGUGGCUACAUGUUAAGGGUAUCUCGAGUACUGUAGUGAAGAAGAAAGUCAAUUUUAUCAACAAAUAUGAUUAAGUCUAGGGUAACCUUUGCGUGUAUGUAUAAAACCAAUAGCAGACCCCGUUCGACUGAAAAACACGUUUGCUAUGGGGCUGGGUGACAAACGAGGUAAACCACUAACGACGACUGAUCAAUAAUUUUUGCUACUUUGAGUUUAUGCUCCUAAGCAUGUUUAUAUCAUUUUAAGUUCAGAUUUAUUCAUUAUUAAGCGAUUGGAUUGGAUGUUAUAAUUAAAAAGAAUAAAAUCCGUGUUCGUCUAUUAAUUAUUUUUUAUUUUUAUUCAGAAUUUCAUUAAACAAUUUUAAGCAAUCAAGUAGUUCAAAAAUGUUUUAUUCUUUAGAUGAUUACGAGUUGGUUAUAAUAUAGUAAACAAUCGUCGUACAUGAAAUAUUUAUUAUUUUUCAAUAAUUAGAAAAUUUGAUGUUCUUUAAGUUAGUAACUAAAAUUAAAUUAUUUGUAACCAUAUAUCUAGAAUAUAAUGAAUAAAAAUUAUAAUAUUAAAUAGUUUGUUUCAUACGAAUAAUUUUUGUUAUAUUACGGCAAGAAAGUGAAAAUUGAUUUUAAACCAUACAUUAGCAACAUGAACAUCAACCGAUAAAAGUGUCUUCGGUUUACUUGAAUUAAUUAUGAUUGCAUCAUUAGUACAAAAACCAGUCGAUAAACUUUUUAUUUUGUUGUACAUACUGUUAUAGAAUGGAUAUUAUAUAACAAUUUUACACUUUGAAUAUUGCAGGUUAUUGAAGUCGAAUGACUUUUCUUUCUUGUAUUACCAAUAACGUCUCACUUUCUUUCGAUUUAAAUACAGAACCUUACUGUAACUUCUACCCAUUGAUUGAUAUUGUUAGAAAUUCAAAUCUGAGAUUAUUUUCUAUAAGAUCUGUUUAUGCAGACAAAAAUAUAAAAAUCUAAAGAAACGGUCAACGAACAUGAAUUUCGUGAUUGAAAAUAAGCUAUUUAAUUAUUACUUAAAUUACGUGAUUAACAUCAAUAGGCGACGUGUCCAAGGAUUCUGCAUUCGAUUAUAUAUUAUGUGUAAUAUGUAAUAUAUAUAGAAACUACCAUUUACUAAGUGCAAUACGUAUGUACAAAAUGGAAGAAUCAGUCGACGUUUCGGUGUUACCAUACUCGAGAGUCACCGAUGGCACCGGUUUCCUUCUUCUGAGGGAGAACAGCGAAAAACGAGCUUCACCUACUGGCGUAAAUAUGUACGAAGCUAAUCGUAAGUGUUCAUAAAGUAAUUACGGGAUGGAGCUAAUCUUAUCGAGAAAACGAUACGUGUGACUGAGAAACAGUUACUGUUUAAUGGAAGGAACGCACGUUUCGGUUACAGUGGGGUAUACAAUGAGCCUCCAACGUGAAAGAAGUGGAGAACAUCAGUGAAAGUAGUUUGACAUUGGGAUCCAGAAUGUUCGCAAAGUUGUAAUAAAGUUCAUUAUAACCUACCGCCAAAUACCCCUAAAUUAUUUUUCUCAUCUCGUCUAAUAACAUUUCGUAUAUCACCUUACAAACAGUAAAUUCGGUUUUAUAUUUUGAAAUUGGAGAUUAACACUUCCAGACUAAUAAUUUUCAAGUAUAUUUUAGAUUCUUUAAAGCUACACAAGAAAGUAUUGUAGAUGCUUUUUUUAAGAAUUUUACCAAGAAUAUACUUGUAGGAUUUUGAAAUGUCCAAUUUCAGGCGAAUUUCUACUGUACUUUAUAUCAAAAAUGAAGUUUUGAUGUUCUGAAAUUACAAACAACCGAUUUCUAUUGAAUUAAAAUUUUUUGAUUAACAUUUUUAAAUAUCAAAUCUCAUUAUUGAUAAUUUUAAGUACGCAACCGCAUUAUUGUAAAAUAAUAUGAUGCUUCUGUAUUAAGUUCAUACACGUUAGGAAUGUCCACAAGUAAGAUAUUGUACUGCGUAAUAGCAUUAAAGAAUUGCUAUAGCAUUAAAGAAGAAUGUCACGACCGAUUUAAAAAUAAAAUUAAUUAUAGAAAAUAUUUCUACACUAAUUAUGCAUAGAUAAUAUGCAAGACAUUCUAGAUUCCAGUGUUAAGAUGAUUCUACCUGUACAGAUUUCACAGGAUAAACGUGUUCGUUCGUAGAAUACCAAUAUCGCAAACGUUGCGCUUUAUGCUCGGUCGAGAAGUCAAGUUUUCUUCGGCGAUGAAGUCUGAAUUACAAACUACGAAAAAAGCGUUCCUAUUGAAAGAAACGUUUCCGAACGCUGUAAACUCCGCACGCAAAAAUUAGACGAAAACUAUACGAAAUUCUAGCUCGUAUAUCCGUCCACUGAAUGUAGAAUUUUGAUUCGUUGGAUUGAAUAUCGCGUCAUUGGAAUGCAGGACUAUCAAACAGAACAUUAACAUGUCGGCAAUUCUAGCAAAAAUAUUCUAAUUUAAUUUUAUCGAGAUGUAAUUCGAGCUUCGUUAUAACUUCGCAAUUGAAAAAAGAUUUAGUGCUUAAUUUCUGGUUAAAUCUUUGUGGUAUGUGUGUUGUAAAUGUUCAAUUUACAAUGUUAUUUACAAAUAUUUAUGAAAUUUGUUGCAUGUAUUCUAUGUGCGAUAUAUAUAUCAUUAUCUUUUAUUCCUUCCUUGUCUUUAUAACUUGUUUAUUUCUUUUCGUAUUAAUGUUACAUCCUCCUUUAAUAUUUAACUGCCAUCUGUAAAAAAAUAUGUUGAAUUAUUAUAUUACAUAACUAAUAAAUGGUUUGAAAGACUUACUGAAAAUAUCAAGAGUGGAAAUAUGUUCCUAAGAAGCACAACUUAAUAUUAGACUAAAGUCGUAUAAAAUAGCAGCAAAACAUUUAUAUAAUUCCAAACAUUCUUACACAUUUAUAAACAUUUAGAGAUAUCUAAAAUAUUUACUACUGAUGGUUCUUCGUUGAACUCUAUCGUUCACAAUCUUUUAUUAUGCAAUUUUAUUUUCAAGUAGUAAAUAUCAGGGGUAAGUUUCUACAACUGUAAUUAUACUUGAAUUAUAUGCUUUUCGUAGUUAUAUUACAUCUUCAUAUAAAUUAUAUAAAGUCGAAUAUAGUAUAUCGAAAACAAUUUAAAUUCGCUGAGUGACUUAAUAAACAAGUGAGAAAUGAAUUUAAAGGUAUCUAUAUCUUUAUAAAUAUCCGUAAUACGUAUUUCAUACCACAAAGGUUUAGAUAUUACUCUGCAAUAAAGAAACGUUUGUUUCAUUAUUUGACUCAUGCUGAUCAACUGUAUGGAUGAAAUGCAUAGAAAAAUCCCGACUAUAAACAUUAUUUUUAAAAUAUUACUUCGAUAUAUGUUCCGCUAGAUAAAUAUAUUGAUGAAAAUAGAAUAUUUUUUAUUUUUUAAGAUAUUUAGUUGUUGAGAAUUUAAAAAAAAGUGAAGUUGUGGGAAAGUUGAUCAGUUUGACAUGCAAAAAGCUCAGCUCAAGUAACAUUUUUAAGCUUUCGAAUAUUGAGUUGAACUGAUCGAUCGUGGUCCUUACGCAAGAUGCAAUCGUUCCACGCGAUUCGAGGCCGAGAAUGACCAUCGAUGACGCAAACCGCGACGACGCUUGUGGAACGACCCUUAAAGAGACGAACCCAAGUAUGUACUUUCCUCCACCGCGAUUCGGCACACGUAAGCGGAGCGUUUGCUUAGUGAAAUAUCUUAGAUAAAUAUGUUACUAUCUAGAGGUAUAUUGAAAUAUUAUAUUAUGUAGUCAAUGUUAAUAGCGCGAUGGAUAGCAACGUAUAGAAGAGAAAGAGAGAACCGAAUGCGAGUGAGAGAAAACAAGAGAGAAAGUAUAAGAGCAAAACCAAACGAAAAAUAUUUCGAAACGAUAAAAUAGAUCCUACUGAAAAAUAAUUUACGCUUAAACUCGUCAACAAAUUUUCUCUCAUUUCUAGCAUACGAUGUAAUUUGCAACCCGAAAUGUUCUUUCUUUUCUACACCACGAAGAUACAUAACGUGCAUUUGUCCUCUUGGCGCAAUUUGAUUAACCGAUCGAUUUCAUCGUCGGGUUUAGCGAAGAUAAUCUUAAAAAUGCGAUCAGUACAUUUAGUUAAAAUGUUCUGUCUAGCAUUUAUUCGUCUUUUACUAUAUCGCACAUGUAUUACAAAAGUAUUACAACUUAAAAUAAUUCAGUCUUGCGCUAGAAAACCAUCAAAAUCAUGAACGAGAGAUGUCGCGGACAAGGAGUGGAAAAUUGCAGAAAUAAUAUUUAACCAUUGUCUGCUGUCCUUUUUAUCUUUUUGCAUAAUGUUUCCUUAAACAUUAUGUGUUUAGUUAAUAAUUUUUUUUGUAAACUUCCAAACUUGUUCGAGUUGUGUCGAUUUUGAAAUGCAUGUGCCAUAUGUUAAAAUAUUUGAAGAUCAAUAUAUUUUUUGCCUCUUGAGUAAAAAUAUACGUAUAUUCUGCAAACUGUUGCGGAAUAAUAACUAGGUAUUUUAAAUUGGAUGAAGAAAAACAAAGGCGAAAAGAACAAAGAGAUAUGAAACUUUAGCUUUCUCAGGUGUAUCGUAAUGGUAGAUAGACAUUUUAACUAAGAAGGGCAGACUAUGCGUCUUAUGAAGAAAGAAUAGGAAAAUCCAAUAAUUCUCUUCAUGAGGGACGUUCCGAGCUUUUUUCGAAACAUCCCGGUUCGUUUGACCUGCUGCAAUUAUGGAUGUAGACGAAUAUCGUGCGUGUGAUCGCGAUAAAGAUCGCGAAAGCGACGUCAGUCGAUUCUGCGCUUAACGUUACGUAUAUGUCAAUCGAAUCACGAUAAUUUCUGUUAAUAAAACUCAUUAGCGAUGCACAAAGCGUGAGUGUGUAAAAAGAAGAGAGAACAAGAAUAUGUGUGAAUGAGAGUGAGAGAGAUAAUCGUUAGGAACGUGGCUUUCUCAUAGCGACGGUGUCCAUUUCCUUUCAUUCACGCGAGAAUGCCCCUUGUUUUACAAAGCAAUGUUACCGCAACAAGUCGUACGAUCAGUGAUUGUAAUUCCUUGUAGCCCUAUAGCAUUAUUAUUUUUCUUUUCUUUUUUUUUUGUUUCUUUUCUAUCUUCUUCGUCGUUUCCUUCCUUCUUCUUUUUUUGUUUGCAGAUUAUGCGCGAGUAAGCACAAACAUUUGAAAGAAGCUAUAUAAGAUAUGUAGACACAUACUUGAAACUUGAGUUAUAUAUUUAACACGAAUACUAUUUAAUAUAUGAUUCAAGCUUAUAAUAAACGGGUUGUAUAGAAA